GAUUCACGGCCGCGGUACUCUAACCGUGCGAAGGUAGCACAAUAACUUGUUCUUUAAUAAGGACUAGAAUCAAUGGCUUCACGAGGGUUAUACUGUCUCCUUUUUCUAAUCAGUGAAACUGAUCUCCCCGUGAAAAAGCGGGAAUACUACUAUAAGACGAGAAGACCCCAUGGAGCUUAAAACUAAAUAGGUACCCUCUACAAAUUACAUGGUAAUCUUGGCUUUUAUCUAUUAGUUUUGGGUUGGGGUGACCGCGGAGAACAGCCUAACCUCCGCAAUGAAAAGAAUAAUAUCCUAAUCUAAGAGGGACACCUCUAAAAAUUAAUAAAUUAACAUAUGAUGAUCCAAUACUUAUAUUUGAUCAAUGAACCAAGUUACCCUGGGGAUAACAGCGCAAUCCACUUCAAGAGUCCCUAUCGACAAGUGGGUUUACCACCUCCAUGUUGGAUCAAGGUAUCCCGGUGGUGCAGCCGCUACUAAAGGUUCGUUUGUUCAACGAUUAAAACCCUACGUGAUC
rnacentral:rRNA from 2 species